ensembl:lncRNA
AAUAUUUAAUGAAACAAUUAAAAAAGUUUAAGAACUAGUAUCCAAAGCAUUACAGAGAUGAAGAGGAAUUAAUUUAAAGAGAUGAUGGAUUAGAUGAUUAAUCAUUAAUUAAUUAUUAAUUACACCUAAACUGGAUCUGGAAUUAGAAGUCAAGGGUUAGUAUCUCCUCUCUUUGAUGUGUGAUCUUGGGAAAGUCUAUUUAUCUUGUUGAGUCUCAUUUUAAUCAUCAAUAAAAGGGUGUUUUCUUGAUGAGCCCUGCAAUCCCUUUCACCCUCAUAUUUAUAGUCCUCUGAUUCUUGACUUCUCAUUUACUUGGUGUAGCUCAGAGGAAAAUAUAAGUGAAAGGGGCACUGAAAAAAUAUUUGGACUAGGACCCAGUUUGCAGGAGGAAAUGGAUGAUGGAAAAAAUUGUGAUAGUUAUUUUAAGUCCAUAGUUCAUAGAGUUUUAUUGACAGGAAAUAGAAUAGAAAAGUUCUUGGAGGACAAGGAUUGUUUUCACUUUUUUCCAUAUCCUCUGUACUUAACACAUUGCCUGACUUAUAGUAAGCACUUAAAUGGUUGUUGACAUGAUAAUAGAUAGUAGAAAGAGAAAGGUCAAGUAAAAAGCUCGAUAUGCUAGCAAAAUCAACUACUCUUUUGAGAUCAAAAGGGGCAAUUGAAAAAUUUAGAGAGAUUGUGAAUAGUCACACACAGACACACAGACACACACACACACAAAAUCAGAGGCAGGGACACCGUUAUGCCCAGAUUCUCACGCUAGAUGGCAGUAGCGGGGCCCUUUCUGCUUAGGUUCACUGUCCUAUAAGGCACUGCUUGGUUAAGUACAGUCGCAUUUAGUUGGAGCUGCAGGGGAGAGAGGGAAGAGUAGGGUGAGAAGAAGAGAAGAGGAGGAGGAAGAGAGAGAUAUAGAGAGGAAGGGAGGGAGAGAGGAAGAGAGGAGGGGGGGGGUUCGUCCGUGUUUACACCAAGCACAGACUACGAGCGCCCAACCCGGCCCCCUCCUCCUGCACUUGAGGAAAAAAAAAAAAAGAGUGCAGGCUGGUCGUGGGAUCCAGGCGUCGUGUGGCAGGCAGCUUCAUCUGUCCAGGAUUCUCAGAGCCGUUAGAUCUGAGAGAGAAGCAGAAACGAGUAGAAGAGGAAGAGCGAGUGAGCGAGAGAGAGAGAGAGAGAGAGAGAGAGAGAGAGAGAGAGAGAGAGAGAGAGAGAGAACGCUGAGGCGAGCUGGUGCACACGAGAGAGGAUCGAGCGAGGGAGCAACAUGAGGACCUACUGGCUGCACAGUAUCUGGAUGCUGGGCUUCUUCCUAUCCCUGUUCUCCUUGAAAGGUAUUUGGUGAAUUCACUCUUCUUUCCAAGUCCCUUUCUGCUCCUCCUCCUCUUCCUUCUCCUCCUGACCGCGGUCUGGGUAUGUGAUGGAUUAAGGAGCGCUCAGAAUAGAGAACUGUGUGCUUAUUUACAACUCGCCCCCACUACCCUCUCCACAGGCUCAGGACUAAAGCAUUGGUCCUCUUGCGUUUUGUGGCAAGGAAGCCGAACGUCUCACUUGCUGCAAUAUUGGUGUUUGUGAUUUUGGUGGUGAGGACUGGAAAUCGUGUGUGUGUGUGUGUGGGGGGGGGAGCAGAGUUGGGGAUGGAGGUUGUGAGAGGUGGAAGGGAUGGAGUUGUCUGCAGAGAGCUGGGAUGAAAAGAUGAGGGUUUUUCUAGUGUAAACUAUAUCCCUGAAAGCACUGUGCUUAGCUGUCCGCUGGUCCCUGGUGCUGAUUCCACCGCAUUCCUCGUCUUUCAGAGGGGAAUUAGCAUUAAGUUUAGGGUAAAGCUGUGUAUCCUUUAAGCACUUGGUACUUGCAUCUCCCUGCAAAAUAGAUAGAUUCUGUCUACGAGAUUGCCGGGGGUUGGGGGGGAGGUUUGGCAGGCGGGGAAAAGAGGCUGAGGAAUGGAAAAUAAAUAGAAAUGGUAUCAACUGGGUAAUAGCCA